rnacentral:rRNA from 1 species
UACGAAGGAGGCUAGCGUUGCUCGGAAUCACUGGGCGUAAAGGGUGCGUAGGCGGGUCUUUAAGUCAGGGGUGAAAUCCUGGAGCUCAACUCCAGAACUGCCUUUGAUACUGGCGAUCUCGAGUCCGGGAGAGGUGAGUGGAACUGCGAGUGUAGAGGUGAAAUUCGUAGAUAUUCGCAAGAACACCAGUGGCGAAGGCGGCUCACUGGCCCGGUACUGACGCUGAGACGCGAAAGCGUGGGGAGCGAACAGG